GCUGUUUAAAAAUGUGUAUUUCAUAUAUGUUUGUUAGUUUACUUUAAAAAUAGUUUUAUAAGAAUCAGUCAAAUUACCCUUUUUGGACCUUACACAUUAAGCUCCGCCUUCUUUCUGAAAUAAGCCCGGGCUUCUUAAACAGCGGGAACAUCAGUAAGACAAGAUUUUUUGACAGCGAUGGAUGCAUAUCUACAUUGGUGACGGGUAACGUUACAGACAAAAGAAAUUGGAUGUUCUGCAUAUGGCUGCAAGAGAUAUUUAAAAAGUUUUCCGGAACCCCAGAUUAAAAGUUGAACUGCAAAGGGUUAGUGUAUUUUUUUAUUUUAUCAAAAUGUUAAAUGUUCUAAAUGUUUAAAUUUUUAUUGUUAAUUAAUUUUAUAAUUCUGUGGAAAUUUGAAUCUCAAGAAUCUUUUAGUGAGUUUGGAUGAAAAAUUUCACGUUUUAAUUUGUACC
rnacentral:lncRNA from 1 species